UUAUACAGACUAGCGAGGAAA
rnacentral:piRNA from 1 species